rnacentral:rRNA from 1 species
ACGGCCAUACCACGUUGAAAACACCGGUUCUCGUCCCAUCACCGAAGUUAAGCAACGUUGGGCCCGGUCAGUACUUGGGAGGGUGACCACCUGGGAACACCGGGUGCUGUAGGCU